CACCUUGCACAGUGGCAAUAUCGUAACCAAUGAAGGUCUCCUGAGGUGCGAUUAUUGUUAGUUGAAAAAUUAUUAUAUUUACUUCAGUUGGACAAAAGCAUACAUAUUAGUGACAAAAGGGUAUGAACGAGCGGAUACCCU
rnacentral:snRNA from 1 species